AGAGGUCCCAAGGCGUUGUUCGGAUUCAUUGGGCGUAAAGGGUGUGUAGGUGGCGCCGUAAGUCGGGUGUGAAAUUUCGGAGCUUAACUCCGAAACUGCAUUCGAUACUGCGGUGCUUGAGGACUGGAGAGGAGACUGGAAUUCGAUGGUGUAGCAGUGAAAUGCGUAGAGAUCAUGAGGAAGACCAGUGGCGAAGGCGGGUCUCUGGACAGUUCCUGACACUGAGACACGAAAGGCCAGGGGAGGCAAAACGGG
rnacentral:rRNA from 1 species